rnacentral:ncRNA from 1 species
UUUAUUGAGAGUUUGAUCCUGGCUCAGGACGAACGCUGGCGGCGUGCUUAACACAUGCAAGUCGAGCGAGAGAAAUUCCUUCGGGAAGGACUC